UACCGGCGGCUCGAGUGGUGGCCACUUUUAUUGGGCUUAAAGCGUUCGUAGCUGGGUUGUUGAGUCUCUUGGGAAAUCUGGCAGCUUAACUGUCAGGCGUCUAAGAGAUACUGGCAAUCUAGGAACCGGGAGAGGUGAGGGGUACUUCGGGGGUAGGAGUGAAAUCCUGUAAUCCUCGAGGGACCACCUGUGGCGAAGGCGCCUCACCAGAACGGCUUCGACAGUGAGGGACGAAAGCUGGGGGAGCAAACCG
rnacentral:rRNA from 1 species